GAACCGUGCGAACGUUGUUCGGAAUCACUGGGCUUGAAGGGCGCGUAGGCGGGCUGCCAAGUCCGGGGUGAAAUCCUCCCGCUCAACGGGAGAACGGCCCCGGAUACUGGCGAUCUCGAGGCGGGUAGGGGCGUGCGGAACUAUGGGUGGAGCGGUGAAAUGCGUUGAUAUCCAUAGGAACACCGGUGGCGAAGGCGGCCCACUGGGCAGUCACUGACGCUGAGGCGCGAAAGCUCGGGGAGCGAACGGGAUUAGAUACCCCGGUAGUCCGAGCCGUAAACGAUGGGUACUAGGUGUUCGUGGUAUCGACCCCACGGGUGCCGGAGCUAACGCGAUAAGUACCCCGCCUGGGGAGUACGGCCGCAAGGCUA
rnacentral:rRNA from 1 species